GGACAGGUGAGUCAUCGAAUCUUUGAACGCACAUUGCGCCCGUUGUAUUGCGGUAGGCAUGCCUGUUCAAGCGCCAUUAUGCUCCCUCAAACCCCAGGUUUGGUGUUGGACCCAAGUUGAGUGAACGACUGGUCUCAAAGACAAUGACGGCGUUUAUGGAACCCUCAGCGCAACGAGCUUUCUCGGAGCAUUCAUCGAGCUGCGAGGAUCUUCCGGCCGGUUUCGUUUACUAUUUUGCCAAGGUUGACCUCGGAUCAGACAGGAAUGUUCACCGAACUUAAGCAUAUCAAUAAGCGGAGG
rnacentral:misc_RNA from 1 species